rnacentral:rRNA from 1 species
UACGUAGGGGGCGAGCGUUGUUCGGAAUUAUUGGGCGUAAAGCGCGUGUAGGCGGUUCGGUAAGGCAGAGGUGAAAUCCCAGGGCUCAACCCUGGGCCGGCCUCUGCGACUGCCGGGCUGGAGUGUGGGAGGGGAGAGCGGAAUUCCUGGUGUAGCGGUGAAAUGCGUAGAUAUCAGGAGGAACACCGGUGGCGAAGGCGGCUCUCUGGACCAUAACUGACGCUGAGACGCGAAAGCUAGGGGAGCAAACAGG